CGCGGCGCUGCCAUAAACACGGCAAGAUGGCGGCGCUCACGCCGCCCGCCCGCCCGUGCUGCGUCAUGUCGCGCCCCGGCCCCGCCGCGCCCGCAGGCUCGCCGGGAUUUGCGUUCAAGCCGCGCUGGGGAAGAUGGAGAUGUGAGGUCUGUGUGGCUUUAGUCUGGCUGAAGCAAAGCAAAAAUCUGUGUGUGAGAUGCAAGACAACAAACUGUGUUUGUACUGGGGGAAGAGCUGGAUCCUCCAGAGAAAACGGCAUCAGCCCUUGGAAUACAGGUGUGACUCCAACACUUGCUGUGCCAGAGGGUGCUGGGGAGGAAUUGUUCACCUUCUCCCUUUAAAAGCCUGAUAAGGAACUGCUGGAGCACGAGUAAAAUCCUGAUAGAGUGAUCAAAGUAUGCUUGAAUUGCAAAGCAGUGAUUCUUCUCUCAUCACCUCAGCCUGUGAGAUGUAGAAUUCCCAAUCCCACACUUAAGCCAUGCUGAAAUCAGUAGAAUUCCUCACCUGGAAUACCAAUGGUGGUUCAAAAACACCUGGGAGUGAGAGCCAAGGGCUCGUUGCUCAUGCAGCUCCUUCUCAAAACCCACCCUUGCACAGCCAGAAAACAUUAAUAUUUUUAGCGAGUUUUUGUUGUGCUUUCCUAGCAACAGCCAAUUCCUUAAUGAUUAAUCCCCAAACUGUGGCAAAUCUGCGAAUUUGGGGAUGCAUGCUGAAGUCAUCUGUGCUGCCUGACGUCAGCAUUGCAUAAUCUGUUGACUGUCCCCUUUUUAUGUAAUGUAUGUUUGGAGUUUGUUUUAAAAUGUGCAAAUGUUUUUUUUUCCCCUGCGUGCUGCUCCUCCUGUAUUCCACGUUUGCCUCUCCAUUGCCCUCUGGAGUUGCAAACUUGUAAGGCAGCGUUUUCGUGGCUGGAUCCAGCCGAGUGUUUUGUGUUUCUCUCUUAAAAACAGCCUCGGGAACAUCUCAGCACCUUCUCUUGGCCAGGUGAGUUAUUUAGAGUGUUAAAAAAAAAAAAAAAUCCCACAAAUUAUUGCAAUUUCUGCUUCCUGCUGGUGGAAACAUGGAAGCUUCUUGUGCUGUUCCAUCAACAUCAUAAAUGGACUUUUAUUGGAAACUUAGUUACACAUUAACUUCGGCACCAUGAAACCGUUGUGUUUUUUUAAACUCAUUUCAGAGCUUGAUGUAUCCAAUUCCCUCAGGCAACGUGGGGGUGGUAGGAAUAAUUUUGGGAUGUUUUCAGGAAUGCCUGGUUUUAGGGAAGAAAAAACCCGACAGGGGGUAAAGCUGUAGAAAUACACAACAAAGUGUGGGGGUGGAGGAAUAGUUCUAUGAUCUUUUCAGCAG
rnacentral:lncRNA from 1 species